rnacentral:rRNA from 1 species
GUAAAGCUACAUACGAAUAUUAUAUUUGGUUAAUUAAUAAAAAUUAUAUAGUUUUAUUUUUGUAGUAGUUAGGACUAUGAGUAUAAAGAAAUUUAAUAAUGGUUACUAAGUCGUUAGAAGAGACUAAAUCACAGUGCCAGCAGUCGCGGUUAAACUGUUUACUUCUCGUUUUAUUUGUAGGUUUAAAGAAUUAUUAAAUAAGCUAGAAAGUGUGUUAGUAAAAUAGGCUUUUGUCGGAAAAGAGUUUAAUAAUUUUUUUAGAGAGUCUAAGAAAAAUGGGGAUUGGAGACCCCUUUAUUGGACUUCGAAAUUUUAGUCCACAGUUAGAAACUGAAAGGGUUUGGCGGUAAACUAGAUUCGUCCGGGGGAAUGUGCAUAUUAAAGAGAUGAUUCGCUAAUUAUUUUACUAUAAUGAUUUCAGUUAGUGUAUAUCCGUUUGUAGAUUUACGUCGAGAGACAUUAAGUGAGUAGUAAUUAAAUAAUUUAAGACAGGUCUAUAUGCUGCUAAUAUUAUAGGUGGUUAUGCGUUACAAUAAUAAGUUAAGUGGAUGAAAUUCGCUUAAAAAUUUAGGACUCGGAAGUAGGAGUAAAAU